rnacentral:rRNA from 1 species
GACGAACGCUGGCGGCGUGCUUAACACAUGCAAGUCGAACGGAAAGGCCUGCUUUCCCUUGUGGAUUGCGGGUACUCGAGUGGCGAACGGGUGAGUAACACGUGAGUGAUCUGCCCCCAACUUGGGUAUAAGCCUGGGAAACUGGGUCUAAUUCCCGAUAGGACUGCAGGGUGGUGCCUGUGGUGGAAAACGAUUUUCUAGUGGUUGGGGAUGAGCUCGCGACCUAUCAGCUUGUUGGUGGGGUAAUGGCCUACCAAGGCGGCGACGGGUAGCCGGCCUGAGAGGGUGGACGGCCACAUUGGGACUGAGAUACGGCCCAGACUCCUACGGGAGGCAGCAGUGGGGAAUAUUGCACAAUGGGCGGAAGCCUGAUGCAGCGACGCCGCGUGGGGGAUGACGGCCUUCGGGUUGUAAACUCCUUUCGACCGCGAGGAAGCCACCUGGUUGGAAGGGUGGUGACGGUAGUGGUAGAAGAAGCACCGGCUAACUACGUG